UACGUAGGUGACAAGCGUUGUCCGGAUUUACUGGGCGUAAAGAGCGCGCAGGCGGUCGUUCAAGUCGAGUGUGAAAGCCCCCGGCUCAACUGGGGAGGGUCACUCGAUACUGAUCGACUCGAAGGCAGGAGAGGGUAGUGGAAUUCCCGGUGUAGUGGUGAAAUGCGUAGAUAUCGGGAGGAACACCGGUGGCGAAGGCGGCCCCCUGGUUGGAUACUGACGCCUGAGACGCGAAAGCGUGGGGAGCAAACAGG
rnacentral:rRNA from 1 species